GGCUGAACUUCUCUAAUGUCACCUGUUCCACAAUAUACAUGUUACCAAUUCCUUAGUGUAAUCAGAAGUGCAAAGACAAUUAAAAUUUCAUAAGAGGAUUUUUGGAGAAAUACAAUAUACAUCACAAAUAAAAUUCUCCCUUAUGCCUGGCAUAACAUCUGAAUGUGCAAGUGCAUAUCUCUGUGUGUGCAUCGGUCUUCAUGUUUCCCAGGGGAAAAAAAAAUGCUAGUGUGCAUUAUCUUUUCUUUUCUUUAUCAAUUAUCCUCAUAUUUAUUGCUUGCCACAAAUAGGAACUGUUGGAUAUGCAUCUAUUACUACAACAGAAAAAUAUGCUAAGUUGUUACAAAAGAUUAAGUAAAAAGCUGAAGAUAAGGAGGCUGAUUAGUUUUGUUUUGAUGUGUUAGUAGUUGUUUUGAUUUAAUGAGAUUUUUAUGCAGUUUGUUAUAUUGCAUUGUGGGCUGUAAAAUUCAGUAAACAUUUUUCAGUCUCAUUAUAAUCCUAUUAUAAUAUUUUGUUUGCUAUCUUUUGUGAAAUUGAGAGAGAUUUAAAAU
rnacentral:misc_RNA from 1 species